ACCCGCUGAACUUAAGCAUAUCAAUAAGCGGAGGAAAAGAAACCAACAGGGAUUGCCUCAGUAACGGCGAGUGAAGCGGCAAAAGCUCAGAUUUGAAAUCUAGCGUCAUUUAGACGUUCGAGUUGUAAUCUGUAGAGAAGUUAUCGAGUGUGGAUAUGGCUUAAGUUCUUUGGAACAGGACGUCAUAGAGGGUGAGAACCCCGUAUACGGCCUUUGUCUUAUGCUCAUGUGAGGCUUCUUCAACGAGUCGAGUUGUUUGGGAAUGCAGCUCUAAAUGGGUGGUAAAUUCCAUCUAAAGCUAAAUACUGGCAAGAGACCGAUAGCGCACAAGUAGAGUGAUCGAAAGAUGAAAAGAACUCUGAACAGAGAGUUAAAUAGUACGUGAAAUUGUUGAAAGGGAAGCACUUGCAACCAGACUCGCUUGCAGUUAAUCAACCAUCAUUCUUGGUGGUGCACUUUUCUGUAGGUGGGCCAGCAUCAGUUGUAUCGGUGGGAUAAGGGUGGUAGGAAUGUGGCUCUCUUCGGGGAGUGUUAUAGCCUACUGACGAUACCAUCAGAUGCGACUGAGGUCAGCGCUUCGGCGAGGAUGCUGGCAUAAUGGUCGU
rnacentral:rRNA from 1 species